rnacentral:lncRNA from 1 species
CUUGAUUCCAACAGCCUGUGUUUACAGUAAGAAUUACAGUAAGCACCUCCUAAGUUCUAAAGGGCACAGAAAACUGUGACUCCUUGAUACAUCAGGCUCCAGAACCAGUGGGGGAGGAAGGAAGGAAGCAGCCAAGAUCCGGCCACAACAGCUUCUCCGGCUAUUUUUCUUUAUGGGUCAAGGCCCCUGAAAACCUGUACUAGGUCAGGCCUGCUUGUCCAGUGGCUCAGAUUUAAAGGACAUCUAGUUCUCUCUGAUUUUGGCCUCAAUAUGCAGGCAGGAACCCUGCCAACGCUGGCCUUCCUGAGACAUUCCACUGGUUCUCCCCUACUCCUGGAUCACUGA